rnacentral:lncRNA from 1 species
CCAAAAUGUGCUUUUAUUUUUUUCCUUUUGCUACUAUAGCAUUAAAGCUGAAGGACUUCCACUGUAUAUUUAUAACUGUGUAGUCUGUCUCUUCUUGCUGACCUUGAGUGUGAAUAUUAUUUGAAGGAGCUUCAGGCAGUGGUGUUCUGUCAUUACUAAGACAGGACAUUUCAGGUUUUCCCUGCUGAGCCUACAGACAGCCUCAGCAGCACAUUAACUCUGAAAACUGAAACUUAAUUUUCUGACCCUUCAGCUUAAACUCAGAUCCUCAGAGUUUUAAGGUGAAGAUACUGGGCUUCUCACUUUAUUGCAUCUGAACUACAGUUACCUCUUCCCUUUGCCAAGUGUGCAGCAGGUUGGUACCAGUCCAGAGAGGGGCAGGAAUAUCCUGAAUGACCACAGCCAGGGACCUGAGUGCUCGUCUGCUGAACAGAAAUGAGCACACAGUGAGGGACAAGUGUGAAUUGGGUUCUUAUGACUAAAACAAGGAUGUCCCAAAAGUUCAGCACCUGGGGAGUUAGCAGGACUUGGUGGAAGAAAUCCUUAUUCUUAAAGCAAUUACAGAAAUGCAGCCUGACUGAGCAUUUUACUUUUGCUGCCUGAUGAACUCUCAUCACCCUGGGUGUGUGGCUGGUGAGUCACACACACG